CACAUGCAAGUCGAGCGGUAAGGCCCUUCGGGGUACACGAGCGGCGAACGGGUGAGUAACACGUGGGUGAUCUGCCCUGCACUUCGGGAUAAGCCUGGGAAACUGGGUCUAAUACCGGAUAUGACCUUCGGCUGCAUGGCUGAGGGUGGAAAGGUUUACUGGUGCAGGAUGGGCCCGCGGCCUAUCAGCUUGUUGGUGGGGUAAUGGCCUACCAAGGCGACGACGGGUAGCCGACCUGAGAGGGUGACCGGCCACACUGGGACUGAGACACGGCCCAGACUCCUACGGGAGGCAGCAGUGGGGAAUAUUGCACAAUGGGCGAAAGCCUGAUGCAGCGACGCCGCGUGAGGGAUGACGGCCUUCGGGUUGUAAACCUCUUUCAGCAGGGACGAAGCGAAAGUGACGGUACCUGCAGAAGAAGCACCGGCCAACUACGUGCCAGCAGCCGCGGUAAUACGUAGGGUGCAAGCGUUGUCCGGAAUUACUGGGCGUAAAGAGCUCGUAGGCGGUUUGUCGCGUCGUCUGUGAAAACUCGAGGCUCAACCUCGAGCUUGCAGGCGAUACGGGCAGACUUGAGUACUGCAGGGGAGACUGGAAUUCCUGGUGUAGCGGUGAAAUGCGCAGAUAUCAGGAGGAACACCGGUGGCGAAGGCGGGUCUCUGGGCAGUAACUGACGCUGAGGAGCGAAAGCGUGGGUAGCGAACAGGAUUAGAUA
rnacentral:rRNA from 1 species